GGAGGCAUUGCAACUGCAGCGGAGCACCGCCAGCCCUCCAUCCGCUCCCAACCGCUUGGCAGGCUAGACGCCCCGUGACGAGCGCUCCAGUCCGGGUUCCCCUUUCCACCGCCAUAUAGGGAAGGGGAGGAUGGAGCGGCAGUCCGCCCCCCGCCGCACACAGCAUCCGCCCACUUGGCGGUGAACUUGAGCCAGCAGCGGUUAACCCGGCCGGGGGUUCUGGGCCUCAGCUGGCGCCGACGCCAAACGCCAGAGGCUCCCUCAGAAGAAAAUGAAAAUAUAUGCGCUACACAGUCAGAAAAAGCUCACCCCCAGGAAUGAAAAUGAGAGUCAUGUUAAGGGGCUAAGAAAGCUUCAGGAGGAAAACCCAGCAAUCUAGUGCACUCAACCUCAUUCUCAGCCUCUCCAGUGAGAGGGAGAGACCGCCGUGACUGACUUUUAUCCCUCUGGAACUGUAGGCCAAAGUAAUGGCAAACAAAGGCAGCUGCUAAUGUGGUCCACUGGUGCAGGAUCCAUCCCGAGUUGAUAGCCAGACUUCGCAGGUUUCUCAACAUGGUGCUGUCAUAGAUGCAUGAAGGAAAAAUCAAGAUUGAAAGGGUCGUGAAUUCUUCUUUCAUGGCUUCAGAGAGCUUCGGAGGCCAGGAAAAUUGUGGGAGGGGAGUCCCUGCAUGAAGGCUUUGAGAAGGCAAGAGGCUCUGAGAAGUUUUGCAUGAAGCUGUGAAAGUGAAGGUUGAAUUGCAGCAAAGAUACCCAAAUUUUGGUGAUUCUGUAGCCAUGGGAUACCUGUUAAGGAGAACUGCAUACAGGGGGUGGAAUUAGUCCAGGAGAGAGGUGUAUAUUACAGGCAGCAAAGUCGAGGAGUAGAGACAACUAUAAGCCCUUUGACAUCAGAUGUGGAACUGCAGGAUUUUGUGCUUGCCCUGUUGAGUUCUGAUAUUACUUUGUUAUAGUAUUCCCAUUUGGAAGGGUAGUGUGUAUUCUGGGGCAAUUAUACAUUGAAUGUAAGUAAUUUGUGUUUUGAUUUUAUAAGGGUUACAAUUAAGAGUUUGCCCUGAGUCCCCAAGGAGACUUUGAACUUUUGAGUUUUAAGCAGUAUUGAGGCCGUGAAAGACAAUGGGGGAGUUUUGAAAUUAUAUUAAAUACGUUUUGUGUUACAAUGUCGUCAUGAGCUUCUGGAGGCUAGGGAGUGGAUUGUGGUGGUUUAAUUGAGAAAUGUCCCCGAUUGACAAAGGAAUUUGAACACUUGGUUCCCCAUUUGGUGACAUUGUUUGGGGAGGUUUGGGAGGUGUGGUCUUGUUGGAGGAAGUAUGUCACGGGGGACAGGAUUUGAGAGUAUAGAGCCCAUCCUACUUCUGCCAUGCUCUGCCUCAUUUCAUGCUCAUGGUUGAGAUGCAAUAACUCUGCUUCUGUUCCUGCAGCCAUGUCUGCUACUUGCUGCCAUGCCUUUCCACGUGAUGGACUCGCAUACUCCUGGAACCAUAUGCCAAAAUAAAUGCUUCCAUCUAUAAGUUGCCUUGGUAUUUUUUAAUCACAACAGUAAAAGGCAGCUAGUCCAUAUGGCCUCCCCCAUGCCUUUGGGAACCAAAAUUCCACACUUCUUAGAGACAUACAAAUGAAUCAUCUUUCCUAAUCUUCUUCUCCUAUACACAUUUUUAUUCCAAAUUACAUGUGCCUUUGGAAUUUUACAUGAUGAACUCACAUAGCUUCAGUAACAACUGAGAGCAAACGAACCAAGACACAUGUGAAUUCUGGUAGCUGGAUUGAGUUCAAAGCAAUCCCAACACUGUCGUUCCCUAAACUAGUAGCUCCUGUGGUGUGAUAGUUAAUGAUAUCUUUGCAAAUUGCUGAGAUAUGUGAGAAUAUACCAACCAGUAUCUAUUUAUAAUAGAAGGGUGAUAAAACCCUAUACCUUGUGAAUUUAUGUAUGUCUUAAGUGCUGUCUGCCCAUUCUUUUGCUACAAUAGUCUACCUUAUACUAGGAAACAUAAUUAGAAAUUUAUCUCACACAGUUCUGGAUGCUAGAGAGCCUAAGAUCUGCGUGACAACUAGUUCAGUGCUUUGCAUUCCAGUGAAGCAAACUGCAACCUAAUUUAAGAAUAUAUUCCUAUAACAAAUAGCUGAAUGGCAGCCAAUCUUAGCAGUUAUAUUUCAUCCAAUCGUAGGCUGACCAGGCCAUUUUCCUAUGACUCAAAUAACUCGUGAUACCAUGCACCCAAAAGACAAAUGCUGAGCUGUGAUUAAUCAAGGGAUUUCUUUUUGUUUUUCUUAAUGUCUGCCCAUAUUAAUGAGUAAAGCUCUCUGAACUACUAGUGACUUGGGAUGCUGCCUCAUAAAUAAAUAUUUCUCUGUUUAAAUAAGCUGCUAGGUUUAAUGUUUGCUCUUUUUCUUAUAACAGGUUUCUUAUACAGGCUUAUUUACCCUCUUUAUAUCCUUAUGGCAGAAAGCUAUGUUAUAACUUUUAUACUGGCAACAAUCCCAUUUCAUAGAAACUCCACCCUCGUGACUUAAUCACUUUCUAAAAAGCCACACCCCCAAAUAUUAUUACAUUUGUGAUUAGGAAUCAAGUUAUAAAGUGAAGAAAUAUAGGGAGUACAUUUUUACACCAUAACUGAUAUUUCAUCUUUCCUCACACCCUGGAAAAUAUCAGGCAGGAUUCAGACUCUACUUUAUGAUAUUAAUUGUUGCUACCCUUGCAUCUCCCACUUCCUGAGAUGUCUUUGGAUUUGACCCCAGUUCUCCAGUUUGACUAAACCUAUUUCCAAGUUUCCACUUCUCUUUCAUUCAGAUUGAUUAUUGUGAAUCCCUCCCAAGUAAGCUUCUCUCUUAAAUGUAAGCAUUCUUACAACUUCCAUUUCAAAUGCGUGCCCAGUGUUUUUACAACCUUUCCUAAAAUAGUUCAAGAAGUCUUCACAUGUACCCAUGAUAGACACAAGAGGCAGAAAAAGUCUGUGACCAAGGUGGUGGCUCAGUGUCUCAAAGAACACAAGGAUGAACUGGUUGCUGACCCUUAUCUUCCAAGAUGAAGAUAUUUCUUAGAAAAUAGUAACUGCGGAGAUGACUCAGAAGUUAAGAGAACUUGCUACUCUUCCAGAGGACCUAGGUUUGGUU